ACGUGAUCUGAGUUCAGACCGGAGUAAUCCAGGUCAGUUUCUAUCUAUAAGGAGUUUUUUCUAGUACGAAAGGAUCGAAAAAACAUGGCCAAUGCCCAUGCAAGCCAUCACUGCUAAUUUAUGCUUAAAACUUAAUUAAUACUCAGUCCUAAACUAAUCUCAAGAAAAGAGAA
rnacentral:rRNA from 1 species